rnacentral:tRNA from 1 species
GCCUUUGUGGUGUUGUAGUCAGCACACUCGGCGCGUAUUCGAGAAGUCCGUGGUUCGAGUCCCGGUGAGGGCA